rnacentral:rRNA from 1 species
UACGAAGGGGGCUAGCGUUGCUCGGAAUCACUGGGCGUAAAGGGCGCGUAGGCGGCCAUUCAAGUCGGGGGGUGAAAGCCUGUGGCUCAACCACAGAAUUGCCUUCGAUACUGUUUGGCUUGAGUUUGGUAGAGGUUGGUGGAACUGCGAGUGUAGAGGUGAAAUUCGAUAGAUAUUCGCAAGAACACCAGUGGCGAAGGCGGCCAACUGGACCAACACUGA